UACGGGAGGCAGCAGCAAGGAAUUUUCCCCAAUGGGCACACGCCUGAGGGAGCAACGCCGCGUGGAGGACGACGGCCUUCGGGUUGUAAACUCCUUUCGGGUGGGACGAAACUGACGGUACCACCAGAAGCAGCCCCGGCUAACUCUGUGCCAGCAGCCGCGGUAAGACAGAGGGGGCAAGCGUUGUCCGGAGUUACUGGGCGUAAAGGGCGCGGAGGCGGUCUGCUGCGUCGGCGCUGAAAGCGCCCCGCUUAACGGGGCGAGGCGCGCCGAUACGAGCAGGCUGGAGGCGAGCAGAGGGUGGUGGAAUUCCGGGUGGAGCGGUGAAAUGCGUAGAGAUCCGGAGGAACGCCGGUGGAGCAGUCGGCCACCUGGGCUCGACCUGACGCUGCGGCGCGACCGCGUGGGGAGCAAACCGGAUUAGAUACCCGGGUAGUCCACGCCGUAAACGAUGCCGGCUCGGCGUUUGGCGCGCGUGAGCGUGCUGGGCGCCUUAGCUAACGCGGUAAGCCGGCCGC
rnacentral:rRNA from 1 species